GAGAAGGAGCCGGGCCCUACUGCAGGGGAGGAGAGAAAGCUCCCCUGCACCUCAAUGGGGCUUUGUGCUCCUUGGCACUGGAUCUGCCAAGACAGGGCACCUCUCCUGGAGCCCGCUCUUGGGGGCGUCUCCCCUGCCUGUGCAUCUGGGGGCUUCAUUCUGGCCAUAGGAGGCAGAGAAGUGGGGCCUGUGCAGUGGGUGUCAGGGAUGGACAGGGACUCUUACCUGGGCCCAUCUAGCUCCCUUGCCUGGCUCUCUCUGCUCAUUUGCAGAGCCAUCCCCCAUGCUGGGAUGUUUGGGGUGCAGCAGGAAUUGCCAGUUUCUGCAGCUCUCCUCUCCCCUGGCUCAGAAAACUUGACGUCAUGCUUGCCUGGAAACCUACCUUCCAGUCCUGCCCAUCCUGAGACCUGUGAGAUGGAAGAGGUUCUAGGCCCACCUCAGGGUCUCAGCAGGUUCAUGACCUAAUCCUAAAUACACGCAACAGGAAGCAGGUGCCUGUUAACUCUGAGGUCUGGUUUUCUCUGUACUGGAGGCAGCAGAAAGAGGAGAGAAGAAAGCAAAAGCUUCAGUGGAUUGACUCAGGGAGGCCAGACAGCCUACUGGAUAUGGGACACCCUUCAAAAUGCACCCCGUCCUCACCUCCAUCCUGUACCCGGGGCUUUACAGCUGUUGGCAGCAGGUGAAAAUGUCAGAGGAGGAAUUUAUAGAACCAGACUCUUCAGGAAUUCAGUGACCAAGCCCCUCCAGGUGUGGCAGAAGACGGGCUUGCCUUGUAAUGAAUUCUAGCCAAUGGCACCUGAUUCACAGCAAGGUUCUGGUCCCUGCUUAGAGGCAAAGGCAAGGAGCCCUUGUUUAUUCAUGGCAAUACCCAAAUGCUGUCCUAAAGCUCUUGGGAAAGGCAAUGCACAUUUCAAUACACUCAACAAACAUUUAUAGAGCACCUACUGUACCGUAAGUACAGCGAGCAAGGCAACAAUUAUUUCAAGUCUUCACUCUCCCCAAACUCCCUUACCCCACACGUCCCCCC
rnacentral:lncRNA from 1 species